CUCAUUCCCUCCAAGCAGGAUCCUGAGUACGGCGGAACACGUGAAAUUCCGUCGGAAUCUGGGAGGACCAUCUCCCAAGGCUAAAUACUCCCUAGUGACCGAUAGCGAACCAGUACCGUGAGGGAAAGGUGAAAAGCACCCCGGGAGGGGAGUGAAAUAGUACCUGAAACCGUGUGCCUACAAGUAGUCAGAGCCCGUUAAUGGGUAAUGGCGUGCCUUUUGUAGAAUGAACCGGCGAGUUACGUUAGCUAGCGAGGUUAAGGCAGAAAAGCCGGAGCCGGAGCGAAAGCGAGUCUGAAUAGGGCGAAUGAGUUAGCUGAUGUAGACCCGAAACCAAGUGACCUACCCAUGACCAGGUUGAAGGUGCGGUAAAACGCACUGGAGGACCGAACCCACUUAUGUUGAAAAAUGAGGGGAUGAGUUGUGGGUAGCGGUGAAAUUCCAAUCGAACUUGGAGAUAGCUGGUUCUCUCCGAAAUAGCUUUAGGGCUAGCCUCGGAAAAGCGGAUACUGGAGGUAGAGCACUGUUUGGAUGAUGGUCCCGUCUCGGGAUACUGAAUGCAGAUAAACUCCGAAUGCCAGAUAUUUGUUUCCGGGAGUCAGACUGCGAGUGAUAAGAUCCGUAGUCGAAAGGGGAACAGCCCAGAUCACCAGUUAAGGUCCCUAAAUCCAUGCUAAGUGGAAAAGGAUGUGGAGUUGCAUAGACAACUAGGAUGUUGGCUCAGAAGCAGCCAUCAUUUAAAGAGUGCGUAAUAGCUCACUAGUCGAGUGACUCUGCGCCGAAAAUGUACCGGGGCUAAGCAUGGUACCGAAACUGUGGGUGGCGACCUUUGG
rnacentral:ncRNA from 1 species